rnacentral:misc_RNA from 1 species
UCAAGGCGAAACGUGUCAUGACAUGCAAUCUUUGUGAAUGAACGAAUAUUUGAACGCACCUUGUACCUGAUCUUUCGAGAAAGGGUAUGUUUGUUUGAGAAGAAUAUAUAUUUUGGUGGAUGAGGCAUAGUUAGUUGUACACGACGACUUGUCUCUAAAUGCUGCUGAACGGCAAAAGUAGGGAUAUGGUGUGAAGCCAUUCUACUUUUACCCUGUUUACACACACACACACUUUAUCUCAAAUCAAACAAGAAGACCCGCUGAACUUAA